CCGUCAAUUCAUUUGAGUUUCAACCUUGCGGCCGUACUCCCCAGGCGGUCAACUUCACGCGUUAGCUUCGUUACUGAUCCAGUGAAGGACCAACAACCAGUUGACAUCGUUUAGGGCGUGGACUACCAGGGUAUCUAAUCCUGUUUGCUCCCCACGCUUUCGUGCAUGAGCGUCAGUGCAGGCCCAGGGGAUUGCCUUCGCCAUCGGUGUUCCUCCGCAUAUCUACGCAUUUCACUGCUACACGCGGAAUUCCAUCCCCCUCUGCCGCACUCCAGCGAUGCAGUCACAAAUGCAGUUCCCAGGUUAAGCCCGGGGAUUUCACACCUGUCUUACAUCACCGCCUGCGCACGCUUUACGCCCAGUAAUUCCGAUUAACGCUUGCACCCUACGUAUUACCGCG
rnacentral:misc_RNA from 1 species